AUGGCCUGGUGGAAAUUAUGUGUACCAAAAAAUCAAGGAGGGAUGGAAUUUCGUGAUAUUCACUGUUUUAAUUUGGCAUUGUUAGCCAAACAAGCAUGUCGUCUUCUGGAUAAUCCUGAUUCUUUGUGUGGUUCUAUUCUAAGGGCAAAAUAUUACCCCCAUGGCGAUGUGUUAAAUGCUAAGCUCAAGAGAGGUUCUUCAUUUACAUGGCAAAGCAUCAUGGCGGGCAUAAAUACUCUGAAACGUGGUUAUAUUUGGCGAGUGGGGAACGGACAUAACAUUAAUAUUUGGGAAGAUGCCUAG
rnacentral:rRNA from 1 species